UAGAGAUCAUUGGGACUCAUAUAUGAUGAUUUUAGACCUUGUGGACCAAUAUUUGAUUGUGCUCUUAGCCAUGAGGGUCUUAAACCUUAGGUGUGAACUUGCUAGAUCAAUGGUAAUCAUGCCCUACCUACAAAAGAGUUAGGCAAAUACAAAGACAUAUUUUUUGUGUUUUUGUUAUUAAAAUGACAAUAUACAAGUAUGAUACAAUCACAUGAUGCUCGGUGAUCUCUCCCAAAAC
rnacentral:lncRNA from 1 species